CAUAAGAUUAGGUUACAUAAGUAACCUAAUCUUACUCCGGCCGACCCUUAACUAAUAAAUAUUAUAGUUUAUAUAUUCGUGUAUCUCAUAACAUGAAAUAAUGUGUAUAAAUAUAUAAAAUAUCUGAUAUAUUUAUAAAUUUAAUAUAAAGUUUACUCAAUAAUAAAUUGAAGAAUAAAGCAUCACAAUCAACGAAAAGAGAUUUAUAAAUUUAUUCUUAUAAUUAUUUGACAUAAAAUUGUAAAACUUUUUUUGGACAUGGCUUUAAAACACGUAGUAGUGGGUGGUGGUACUGGCUUCAUUGGAUCACAGUUGAUAAAAUCGCUAAGUCUCGAGGGUGUAUCUUGCACAUGUAUCUCUCGAAUGCCAGGACCGAAUAGAAUGUCAUGGAAUGAUUUAGAGCGCUAUGGUCUGCCAGAAGACACAUCAGCUGUUGUCAAUGUUGCUGGUCAGAAUAUACUUGAUCCCACACAAAGGUGGUCAUCAGGCUUCAAACAGAAUGUCAGGAAUAGCAGGAUAAAGACAACAAAGGCUCUAGCAGAUGCCAUAAAAAGUACCAAGGCUACAGUUUUCACAACUAUAUCAGGAGUUGCAUAUUACAAGCCCAAUGAUACUAUAUACACAGAAGAAAACAAAUGCGAGCCAUAUGAUUUUCUCUCAAGACUUACCCAUGAUUGGGAGGAAGCGGCAAAAUUAUCAGAAGAUAGUAAUAUUAGACAAGUGACAAUAAGAUCUGGAGUUGUGUUAGGAAGAAACGGUGGCAUGAUCAAGCAAAUUUAUUUACCUUUCUUCCUUGGUCUAGGUGGACCAAUAGGAACUGGAAAUCAGUAUAUGCCCUGGAUACACAUCACUGAUUUAGUUAACAUGUUUACAUUUGCAUUGAAAAAUAAUAAAGUAAAUGGUAUAUUAAAUGGAGUUGCACCUCAGCUUAUAACAAAUAAAGAAUUUACAAAAGCAUUUGCAACAGCAAUGAAAAGACCUGCAGUCAUACCUCUACCAAGUUUUGUUCCACGCAUAUUAUUCAGUGACGAUCGAGCAAAAAUGAUGUUGGAAGGACAAAAAGUUAUGCCAAAGCGUGUUACAGAGUUAGGAUUUCAAUAUCAAUAUCCGAAUAUCGAAAAUGCAUUUUCCUAAAAGCCUGCGAGAUGUCGCUAUUUGUAUAACUUGCCGUUAGAACGGUUAGGAAUGAUGGACGAUUUUGUACAGAGUAGUCGUGUCGAGAUGAGUUUCAGAGAAUUAUCUACUUUGGGGGAUCGAGGCCAAAUGAAAAACAUUUGCGGAUUUGUCCAGGUGUAGUGCGCGAAAUAUGACGACAGCUGAAGCUACCACGGAGAAUUCACGUCGAGUUGCCCAUUUGUAAUUAAUGAAACGCUUUAAAAGACACCUGUGCGACCAUCUCUUCCUGCGCACAGGUGGCUACCUAGACCGCCACGGCGAUAAACCUGGUCUUGUUCGUACAGGUGUGCGCAGCACAGGACGUACCAUGCGGAUAAGGACAUGAAGAGAUGGCGAAUAUUUAUUCUUCUGUAAAAUUCUCAUUUUUCAAGUUUUUUUUAACGGCUCAAGGACGUAUCGCCCAAGGCGCCCCGAUCUUGGCAGAAAUUCGAGCCUCUUCGAAGGCUGUCCGACAACAAAACAACGACGAGUUGGAACAGCGAACUCGAUGGAACGAGAAUUUUGAAAAAAGAGUGAAUGGUAGAAAAGGUGAAAAAAAUUUUUCAAAGUCCAGGUAGAAGUCGUAGAAUCUAUUCGAUCCAGGUGUCUCAUUUCCGAGAAAGGACUGUAUACCAGAACGAUUCCAAGACAUGACUGCAGUUGCUACUUUUACGGUGCUCGCCGAAAUCCUCCCCAUAUUUCGGUUAAUACCGCACGCAUUGUGCAUCGCCAGGCGCAGAUGAAACGGUUGGCGAAGUAACCGAGUUUCCAUGACAAUAUACUGCGUGGUAUUCGAAAGACAUCUGUGAGAGAAAUACCAUAUGGAUUUCGUACCUGUGCCAACGACGCCAGAGUGACGAUUCUAAAAGCUAGAAUUCUCGAAAACAUCGGAUUAUUAUCUGUAUACAUAUUCCGUUAGAGAAAUAUAACUCACAUACACACACACACAUACACAAUCUUUGCUCUGUAUAUUUUUCAUCGAUACACUUUGCAAUCUCCUAUAGAUAGGAAUAUACAUAUAUCUUAUAGAUAGGAUAUACUAUCCUAAAAUAAAUUUAAGAUAUUCGUGUAAGAUCUAAUAUAUAAGGUCACUAUAUAUAUUGUUUAUAAAUUUAAUCUAAAUGUUUAUUAAUUUAGUUUAAAUUUAAUUCAAAGUCAGUAUUUAAAUUUAAAAUAUCAUUAAAUCGCACGUUAUAAUCAAACACACAAUUCGAUAUUUAUCAUGGCAUAUUAAACAUUCAUUAUAUUUAUGUGAUAUUAAAGCACAGAAAAAAAAUCAAGAAGUCUAGUCAUAGUCUAAAGUGAAUCUAAUUAGAUUUAUAAAAUUAUUCACUUCUCCAGCUAUAAAUCGUCAUACAUAUAAUGUUAAGAAUAUACGUGCGAUAUUUAAAAAAAAAAAAUAAUUAAAUCAUGC